AUCUGCCUAUUAGUGGGGGACAACAUUUCGAAAGGAAUGCUAAUACCGCAUACGUCCUACGGGAGAAAGCAGGGGAUCUUCGGACCUUGCGCUAAUAGAUGAGCCUAAGUCGGAUUAGCUAGUUGGUGGGGUAAAGGCCUACCAAGGCGACGAUCUGUAGCGGGUCUGAGAGGAUGAUCCGCCACACUGGGACUGAGACACGGCCCAGACUCCUACGGGAGGCAGCAGUGGGGAAUAUUGGACAAUGGGCGCAAGCCUGAUCCAGCCAUGCCGCGUGUGUGAAGAAGGCCUUAUGGUUGUAAAGCACUUUAAGCGAGGAGGAGGCUACUUUAGUUAAUACCUAGAGAUAGUGGACGUUACUCGCAAAAUAAGCACCGGCUAACUCUGUGCCAGCAGCCGCGGUAAUACAGAGGGUGCAAGCGUUAAUCGGAUUUACUGGGGCGUAAAGCGCGCGUAGCGGCUAAUUAAGUCAAAAUGUGAAAUCCCCGAGCUUAACUUGGGAAUUGCAUU
rnacentral:rRNA from 1 species